UAGUUUUUUUAGAAAUAAAUUUAAUUUACAAAUUUUUAAUUUUUUAGUUAUUUAUUUAAUUGAAAAAUUUAUUGAUUUGAAUAUUUUAAGGGAUAAGCUUUAAAAUAAAUUAUUAAAAAUUAAUAGUGGUGAUAUAAAAUGUAUGCUUAGAAUUAGCAAUCAUUAUAAAGUUUGUUAUAAAUUAUUUUAUAAAUUAUAUUAUUUAUUAUAUUUUAAUUUAUUUAUAAAAAUUUUUUUAUAAAUUAUAUAUAAAAAGGAAUAAUGAUAGAAUUAGUAUAUUUUUUUGUUUAUGUAAUUUUAUAUGAUAAGUUUGUAUAAAGAACUCGGCAAAAAUUUUACCCGCCUGUUUAACAAAAACAUGUCUUUUUGAGUUAUUUUUAAAGUCUGACCUGCCCACUGAAGUUAUUUAAAUGGCCGCAGUAUUCUAACUGUGCAAAGGUAGCAUAAUCAUUAGUCUUUUAAUUGAAG
rnacentral:rRNA from 1 species